AUUGAACGCUGGCGGCAGGCUUAACACAUGCAAGUCGAGCGGGGACUUCGGUCCUAGCGGCGAACGGGUGAGGAAUGCUUGGGAAUCUGCCUGGUAGUGGGGGAUAACGUUUCGAAAGGAACGCUAAUACCGCAUACGUCCUACGGGAGAAAGGGGGGGAUCUUCGGACCUCUCGCUAUCAGAUGAGCCCAAGUCGGAUGAGCUAGUUGGUGAGGUAAAAGCUCACCAAGGCGACGAUCCGUAGCUGGUCUGAGAGGAUGAUCAGCCACACUGGAACUGAAGCACGGUCCAGACUCCUACGGGAGGCAGCAGUGGGGAAUAUUGGACAAUGGGCGAAAGCCUGAUCCAGCCAUGCCGCGUGUGUGAAGAAGGCCUUCGGGUUGUAAAGCACUUUAAGCGAGGAGGAAUGGCUCUGGGUUAAUACCCUUGAGCAGUGACGUUACUCGCAGAAUAAGCACCGGCUAACUCUGUGCCAGCCGCCGCCGUAAAAC
rnacentral:rRNA from 1 species